AUGGGCUGUCAGAGCCCACCUGGGUCGCGGCGAGGGGCCGCGGGGCCCGUGGCGGGGGGGGGGCGGUGCGCAGGGAGCAGCCGCCGCUCCCCUCGGCCGCGGAGACCAGCGCGGGCUGCAGCCUGCCCGCGCCCGGGAGCGCCGGGCUGCUCCCCGUGCCCAAAGCAAGAGCUGCCUCUAGCGGCGACGGAGCCGCCUCGGGGCCCGCGGAGCUCCCGCGAGGCAGCUCCUUCCUCACCCCGCGCUGCCGUGGGCUGGCCGGCUCGGAUGCGCCCCGACACGCAAGCAACCGCCUGGGGCUGCUCCCAGCUCCAGCCAGGCUGCUGUCGCACAGAGAAGCAGAAGAGCAGGGCCCCACGGCAUCCCUUCCCCAUGGCAUCCUUUCCCCAUGGCAUCCCUUCCCAAUGGCAUCCCUUCCCCACAACAUCCCUUCCCCACAGCAUCCCUUCCCCAUGGCAUCCCUUCCCCACGGCAUCCCUUCCCCAUGGCAUCCCUUCCCCACAACAUCCCUUCCCCACGGCAUCUCUUCCCCAUGGCAUCCCUUCCCCAUGGCAUCCCUUCCCCAUGGCAUCCCUUCCCCAUGGCAUCUCUUCCCCACAGCAUCCCUUCCCCACGGCAUCCCUUCCCCACGGCAUCCCUUCCUCACAGCAUCCCUUCCCCACGGCAUCCCUUCCCCAUGGCAUCCUUUCCCCACAGCAUCCCUUCCCCACGGCAUCCCUUCCCCACGGCAUCCCUCUCCCACGGCAUCCCUCUCCCACGGCAUCCCUCUCCCACGGCAUCCCUUUCCCAUGGCACCCCUUCCCCACAGCACCCCUUCCCCACAGCACCCGUUCCCCACAGCAUCCCUUCCCACCACCUGCAUGCCCCUUCUCCAGCCAUGUUUGGCUGGUCCCUGGCGUGCCGUUGCCCCUUCUGCCAACUUUCAGCCCAAACCCUGGCUCUGAUCUCCUCUGUGUGUCGUUGCUGUUUGGAUUCAGCCUGGCGCUUACAAACCCUGCCCAGGGUUUCGGUUAA
rnacentral:lncRNA from 1 species